UAUAUUUUUUAGCUAAAUCCGAUUUCUUUGAGCUCGCUUUGAGGCUUUGCCUUAUUUCAUAUUAGGGAAUCGAUCUUACCGAUUUUCGUCGCGAAGCGACGAAAAUCGGGAUCGAAUCCCACUACGGUAACAUACGAGGGUAUCCAAACAACACAUACUAUCCAAAUAAAAAAAUAUGGAGUUCCGGUUUAGACCAUGGGCGUGCGACGACCCCGAUGAAAUUCGGGAUAUCACGGUCUUCGUUAAUGUUAAUAAGCGUCCGUCAGAUCAGUAGGCGAAACGCAAUAUCCGCACAAUAAGAUGUCUGCGACCCGAAAGAAUAUUCAAAAAUAUGGACGGCACUCCAGUACAGCAUGUGCAUGGUUGGACCUGUUGACAUUUUUAGAAGAGCAUCUUGGUCUAUUAUACAGAGUAUUGUUGUACUGCUCCAAAGUGCUUGUUGACAGACUGAAACCACUUGCUUGCGGCUCAUAAGGUUCACUUCUUGAGAGCAGGCAGCUACAAAAUGGAAGGUCAACAAAUCCAGUAUACUUGAAAAGCAAGAAAGAAACACCAGAAAAUAUAAAAAGACAGAAGAACUAGGGAACUUUAAUAAAAAAAAAAACUUUUAAGGAUAGGAAUUCAGGAUUUAUUUAGAAACUAAAUUUAUUUUGAGAACAGCAGUGUUUGACUAAGCUCUGUUACUUUAAGAGAUAAUGUAUUAUCACAUU